rnacentral:rRNA from 1 species
CGGCGGACGGGUGAGUAACGCGUAGGAAUCUACCUGGUAGUGGGGGACAACUUGGGGAAACUCAAGCUAAUACCGCAUACGCCCCACGGGGGAAAGCGGGGGACCUUCGGGCCUCGCGCUAUCAGAUGAGCCUGCGUAGGAUUAGCUUGUUGGUGAGGUAAAGGCUCACCAAGGCGACGAUCCUUAGCUGGUCUGAGAGGAUGAUCAGCCACACUGGGACUGAGACACGGCCCAG